GAUUGUGUUAAACUUCAACAAUACAUGACAGUUAGUUACAGCUCCACCCACAAGAUCACUGAGAGACUAUGACAAUGUACACUAUAGAACAGACUUCACAGUGCAGGAGGCAGGAGUUGUUCUGUUACACACCCAAUUUCUGUGUUUUACUAGUACUGGGCCUGCAGACGUGUAAAACUGCCAUGACAAUAAUAACAUUCUUCAGGACUGAGGCUAUACAUGACAUUGUAGCUUGUUCUCAGUAAAGUUAUCGGCAGAAAGCACUAAAUCUGUGAAGUGUGGAUGGUCAACAGCAAUAAAGAUAACGAUGUUAUAAAGGUAAUCCAUUAUUUAUGGGUCUGGAUCUCUAGGAACAAGUGGAGGAGAAAAUUUUAAUUUGCAAAUCUAAUCACAACUGUUUGGUGCAACAACUACCUAAAGGUAUUACCAGAAAGUGAAAUAAAAAAUUUUAGUAACUACC